rnacentral:rRNA from 1 species
GUCUAUGGCCAUGCCACCCUGAACAAGCCCAAUGUCUGAUCUCGGAAGCUAAGCAGGGUCGGAUCUGGUUAGUACUUGGAUGGGAGACCACUGAGGAAGAUUAGGUGCUGUAGGCA